rnacentral:rRNA from 1 species
UACAGAGGUCCCGAGCGUUGUUCGGAUUCAUUGGGCGUAAAGGGUGCGUAGGCGGUCUUCUAAGUUUGAUGUGAAAUUCCGGGGCUCAACCCUGGCAUGGCAUUGAAUACUGGAGGACUAGAGUACCGGAGAGGAAACUGGAAUUUACGGUGUAGCAGUGAAAUGCGUAGAGAUCGUAAGGAAGACCAGUGGCGAAGGCGAGUUUCUGGACGGUAACUGACGCUGAUGCGCGAAAGCCAGGGGAGCGAACGGG